AUAUUGGGGACCCCAUGGCAGUGGGGUACACCUAUGGGAUCCUAUGGUGCCCAUCCCAGUGGGAUAAUGGGGACCCCAUGGCAUCCAGAGGAGCCUAUGGGAUCCUAUAGGACCCAUCCCAGUGGGGUAGUGCAGACCCCAUGGCAUCCAGAGGCACCCAUGGGAUCCUAUAGGACCCAUCCCAUUGGGAUAAUGGGGGAGAAUGGGGG
rnacentral:lncRNA from 1 species